CCCAGAUUCAACCGAUAUCUACACCCCGGCCCUCAUCUCUCUCAGCACCAAGCAGACACUGUGAAUAACUUGAAAAUGUUUUUCAACUGUAAAUAACUGAAUCAGUAGAGAGCCACGGUUGGAUCACGACGCAGUCACGGAAGACGAAUUGGCCAAAAGGGUUGCCGAAUCCCGAUCCGCAAUUCGGAGAUCCAAAUGACGGAUUCGAAUCUGGAGUUGCAGGAAUCGGGUUGGGAGGAGCUGAGGAGGGAGGCCAGGAAGAUUGAGGGAGAUCUUGAUGUGAAGCUCUCUUCUUACGCUAAGCUUGGUGCUAGGUUCACUCAAGGAGGUUAUGUAGAUUCUGGGUCACCACCUGUUAGUUCGAGCAGGUCAUGGAAGUCCAUGGAAAUGGAGAUCGAAUCUUUGCUAGAGAAACUUUUGGAUAUCAAUGAUUCAAUGAGUCGAUGUGCUGCAUCUGCUACACCAGCUACUUCUGUAACUCAGAAGCUAGCAAGGCAUAGAGACAUACUUCAUGAGUUUACCCAGGAAUUUAGAGAAUCAAGGGGAACAUAAAUUCAUUGAGGGAACAUGCGGAGCUUCUGACUUCAGUCAGGGAUGAUAUCAGUGAGUACAAGGCAUCGGGGAGUAUGUCACCAAGAAUGCAAAUACUACGGGAGAGAGCUGCCAUCCACGGAAGUGUAUCUCAUAUAGAUGAGGUGAUUAGUCAAGCUCAAACAACAAGGGCAGUCUUGGGCUCUCAAAGGGCUCUGUUUGGAGAUGUUCAAGGGAAAGUGAAAAAUCUAAGUGACAAGUUCCCUAUAAUCCGCGGCCUACUUGGUUCGAUUCGAAGGCGGCGAUCAAGAGACACGCUUAUUCUGUCUGCAGUCAUUGCAGCUUGUACCUUGUUUCUUAUUAUCUACUGGCUUUCAAAAUAAAUAUACGAAUGAGAUAUGUCAUACAGAAAGUUAUAAACGAUGGUACCUCUCUAGGGAAUUUUGCUUCUGUAAUUUCUUGGGACAAAUUGUUUAUAUAUUUCAAAAGUUGGUGGUGCCUAUUUUGUGGUGCCAUUCCAAUGAAUUAUAUUUUGGCUUCUA